GGCCUGAUAAUUCAAUUGGUAGAGAACUGCACCGGCAUCACAGAGGUCAGGGUAUGAGUCCCUGUUCAGGUCU
rnacentral:tRNA from 1 species